GAUGAACGCUAGCGGCAGGCCUAAUACAUGCAAGUCAAGGGGUAGCAAUACACCGGCGGACGGGUGCGUAACGCGUACACAACAUACCUUUAAGCGGGGGAUAGCAUUGGGAAACUGGUGGUAAUACCCCAUAACAUUGCGAGUUGGCAUUAACUUGCAAUUAAAGUUUCGGCGCUUAAAGAUUGGUGUGCGUCUGAUUAGCUAGUUGGCGGGGUAGCGGCCCACCAAGGCGACGAUCAGUAGGGGGGUGUGAGAGCAUGACCCCCCACAUGGGUACGUGAGACACGGACCCAACU
rnacentral:rRNA from 1 species